GCAGGCACUGUGGGAAGGUAGGUGCGUGAGUGUGAGCAGGGGCGGCAGGGCCACGGGUUGGGGGCCAGGACUGUGGGAAUUGUCCACAGCCUUUCUGGAAUCAAAACACUGGCAAAUGUCAAAAAGUGCGUAAUUUGUUUUACUGAAACAGGCUGCUUAUUUAUGUUUGGAAGGCCGGCUUCAAGGACCCGUCUGGGCCCUCCUUAGAUGAUAAUGUCAACAGAAACACAAACAGAUGGGGGGUGGGGUGGUCUGGGGGCUCCUCGGAAUGAAGUGCAGACAGGAAUUCGGGCUGGUCGCAGGCAGAGAAACUCCACGUGACCCCUACUCUCUGGACCUGGCCACUGCGGUGAAUGUUCCCAGCUGAGUUCCAGAACCUGCAGAGAGCUGAUCGGAUCCAGCCCAAGAGAACCGGAAGGGGGUGGGCUGUCAUUUAUCCCGUGUUCCCUCAGCCUGAUGGGCGGUAGCUGGGGUGCAACCCCCCACCCCCAUCCCGACCCCCAGGGUGGCCGUGGAUUCAGGCAAGGCCCUGCCGCUGUGGCCGCGGCUUCUCUCGCUCCCUCCCUCACCCCAGAUGGUGUGGCUGAUGCUGUCCCUCUGUGUCACGCCGUCAGUGAGGUACUAUUUUCAUGUUCGUGGACGGACGAGGAACCUGAGGCACAGUGCGUCUGAAUAGCCCGCGCGAGGUCUCCCCCUGCUGGGAUUAGCUCGUAACCUGCUUUUCGCGCAUCCAGUUGAGAAUGUGUCUGAUGGCACAGAAGAAAGAUCAGCAGCACAAAGCCACCGAACACUUCACAAUGAUGACGCGAGUGCAUUUUCAAGAAUAACCCAUCUCAAAUUCUGUAGCGGGGCGCCUGGGGCGUUCGGUGGGUUGAGCGUCAGACUCUUGACUUCGGCUCAGCUCCCGAUCUCAAGGUGGCGGGACCCAGCCCCACGUGGGGCUCUGCUCUGAGGGUGCAAAGCCUGCUUGGGGUGCCCACUCCCUCCCUCUCUGCCCCUUCCCCGUUUGCUCGUGUGCACACACACUUGCACACAAUCCCUUUCUGUAAAAUAAAAGUACAAUUUAAAAAGUUGUGUGGAACGUCCCCUUCUCUGAGUUUGGUUAAUUGAUGGGAACGUGCUUAUCGCGAGAGGCACAUAAUAAAGUUACACGCCCGACACCAGCUCGAACUCUGGGAACAUCUAGUUCGGGGGUGAUACG